AACCCUCAUCUACAGGCGGCUACUGGUUCUUUCAUUGCACAAAGGAGCUCGUGAUGGUGUGAUUAAAGGAGAUUUUUAUGUUGUGGUUCCUUCUCUGUUUACAGGUUUGGAGAUUGAAGGAAAUGUUGUCUGUGUUUCUUCUACGAUGAAGAAGAUGAUGCUGCGAAGAAGGAGAUGUUUAUUGGUCAUGGUGGUUCUACAAUUCGGAAUGUUAUAUAAGUUAGUGUUUUUGAAGGUGAUGGAGGAGAUGAACUCGUCUUUGCAGUGCUAUUUAGGUCAACAUGGUUGUUGAAGGUGCAUAGUGAAGGUUGAUGGUGGUUCUGCAAUUCAGAAUGAAGAUGGUGCAAUGUUCGCGUGUGUAGGUUGAUCGGGUGGUGUCUAUGGAGGUUUGAUUGCUCGAGAAGAUAAACCUAUGGUGGCGCUAAUGGCAACAUGAUGGUCCUGUGGUGGCGGUUUGCACGAAUCCUAACUCUUUCUACAAACGUUGCCAAGUUAAUUGACCUUAACAUGCCACUUAAUAAAGAAGUAGACAGCGAACAGUUACAUCGUUAGAUUUUUAAUGCCAACUACAUCGUUAGAAUUUUAACACCAA